rnacentral:rRNA from 1 species
UGCGGAGGGAUCAUUACACAAUAUGAAAGCGGGUUGGGACCUCACCUCGGUGAGGGCUCCAGCUUGUCUGAAUUAUUCACCCAUGUCUUUUGCGCACUUCUUGUUUCCUGGGCGGGUUCGCCCGCCACCAGGACCAAACCAUAAACCUUUUUGUAAUUGCAAUCAGCGUCAGUAAACAAUGUAAUUAUUACAACUUUCAACAACGGAUCUCUUGGUUCUGGCAUCGAUGAAGAACGCAGCGAAAUGCGAUACGUAGUGUGAAUUGCAGAAUUCAGUGAAUCAUCGAAUCUUUGAACGCACAUUGCGCCCUUUGGUAUUCCAAAGGGCAUGCCUGUUCGAGCGUCAUUUGUACCCUCAAGCUUUGCUUGGUGUUGGGCGUCUUUGUCUCUCACGAGACUCGCCUUAAAAUGAUUGGCAGCCGACCUACUGGUUUCGGAGCGCAGCACAAUUCUUGCACUUUGAAUCAGCCUUGGUUGAGCAUCCAUCAAGACCACAUUUUCUUAACUUUUGACCUCGGAUCAGGUAGGGAUACCCGCUGAACUUAAGCAUAUCA